UACGGAGGAUGCGAGCGUUAUCCGGCUUUAUUGGGUUUAAAGGGUGCGCAGGCGGCGAGUUAAGUCAGCGGUAAAAUUUCGGGGCUCAACCCCGACAAGCCGUUGAAACUGGCUUGCUAGAGUGGGCGAGAAGUAUGCGGAAUGCGUGGUGUAGCGGUGAAAUGCAUAGAUAUCACGCAGAACUCCGAUUGCGAAGGCAGCCUGCCGCAGCGUUACUGACGCUGAAGCUCGAAAGCGCGGGUAUCGAACAGG
rnacentral:rRNA from 1 species